AGGGUUAACACUUAUGCAAUUCCAGAGAUGUCACUACCAAAUUAACAAAAAAGGGAGAAAUAGAUGCACAGCUAUCGUCCCUCAAUUUUUUCAACGACUGCCAACGACCUUGACAAAAACCUUAGAAAACUGAUGGUUGUGCUUCAGUCAGACAGUCGAAUCUGUCACUGUUAAUUUGUGUAUAAAUUUGUCGAUUUUCCCAUAGAAAAUAAUAAAAAUUCAUUGAUGAAAUAGAUGAUUCGAUUGUUAUACCGAAAACAAAAACGUCAAACUGCAUUAUUGGCAGUACUGUAAUAAGAUGUUUGGAACGUAUGGAAUUUGAAACUUCGAGAAUGUGUGUGUGUGAGAGAGAAAGAAAAACAAAAUAGACUAUUCGUAAAAAAAUGAUAACCGACAACUUGUGACAAAAACUUCUGACAAGUGAAGGUUACCAAAGUUUUACUCGUAUAAUUAUUUAAAAAAUCUACAAUUGGAAACAAGCGAACACUGGAGAGCACUACAGAGACGACACACAUGACAUAUCGAAUAUCGCGUGCAACAAGCUGCAGUGACGUUGUUUUCAAUAAUUCUGACGUUUCGUUCGUCUCUAUAAUUGGCGGAACAUCACAAACGGUUCAUUCCACUUCCGGUUGCGAUUAAAAGAGUUCGUAUAAAAACCAGGGAAUAUAGAAUAUAGAUCGGAAAAGGAACAAUAAUUUCUUCAUACGAGAGUGAGAAAGAGGAAAAGGAGAGUGAGAGCGAUCGACCGAGAAAGAAAAAUUAAUCUUUUGACUUGGAGUCACGAACAACAUCUGUUGGUAUUCUGUCUUUCAUCACGUCGCGAAGUUUUCCGGAAAAGUAUCUCGUUUCGUCAAAUCAUUACGAGUGAACCAUCGUCAAUCUUGAGAAAUUUCGUGAGAGUGUCAUUCACGAAAUAAUAGACAAGAACGCAAAAGUCACAUCAACGAAAUAAAAAAAAAAGAAUCGAGAAAUCGCGACUGAGUCACGAGCAAGUGUUUUAUCUUUUAUUAUGCGUCGCCUCAAGUGAAUAUUGUGAAGUAAAAUCCAAAAAUGGCUGCCAACGAUCAACAGCACAAGAACAUUCAGGAUUUGAGAGAACCAGCUCAUCAUGCCAGAAGGCCAAUGAAUGCAUUUUUGAUAUUUUGUAAAAAGCAUCGAAGUUCAGUGAGAAAAUCUUUCCCAAAUUUGGAGAAUAGAGCUGUUACCAGGGUUCUUGGUGAGUGGUGGGCCACUCUAGGCCCGGAACAGAAAUGUGAUUACACCAACUUGGCGCAAGAUUAUAAAGAUGCGUUUCUCAAUGCAAAUCCAGAUUUCAAAUGGUACAAAUUACCAGCCCCACCUUUACGAACAUUAACAACAAGACCACGAAAUAAAAAAUCAGAAAUCGAUGUCAGCGAAGAAAAUUUAGAGGACGAAUCCAAUUACGACAGCAUCAACAAUGAAAAAACUACUACGUCCGAAGAAGAUGCUUCCAUACAGCCAGGAAAAUUGGCUGAUGAAACUCAAAUUGGGGGUCUGAGUUCUCUUUUCACUCCUCAAAAAAAUUCCACAGAGGUUGAGGCUAACAAAGAAUCAAAGUCCCAAAAUUUGGCAGACAAUGCUCCAGAAAGUCCCAAAAAACUGUACACGGAUGUUCCAAUUGACAACGAACAGAGAAGGAAAUGCACUGUCGAUCUCUUUUGCAAUGAGAAAUUAAACAACACAGAAUCCAACAACAAUGAACAUCAUCAAUUGAACGAGGAGGAGAAAAAUGAAACGGGAGAAGAAAAUAAUUUUCGAACCGAAAGAAGCUGCAAAGGCUUACGAUAUCAGCAAUUAAUGGCUGAACAGCAAAGGAAUGUGGGUGCAAUAGGUCAUCAACCAAAACGACGACGUCCAGGAACUUUGAAUACUCACGAAGAACGACCAAAGGAAAGAAGGAACUCAAUUUCUUCGAACGUGAGUGAAAAAACAGAUUCUCUAAGCAGCGAAGGUGCAAAUAGUACACGCAGUGAUUUGGAACAUCUUGUUGAGAGUGCCGAAGGUAAAUUAGAAGCAUCAAAACCUGAGGAAACCGAAACCGAAGGUGCCGAGUCACACCACAAUUAUAGCGAGUGGCCAUCAUAUAAAAGGUUCAAGGCUGAGGAUUUUAACUUGGAGAAAAAGAUAGAGGCUUUACCGGAGCUGAGCCUCGAAGAAUUUCAGGGCAAGAAGAAGCAGCAACGAACGAAAAAGAAAAAAAUCACGCAAAAGAUAAGUUCUUCUGUGGGAAAACAUAAUUCGUUGCUUCAGGGUCACGUCAGCGGAGAUUUACCUGGAACGAUCAAUGAAUUCAUCGAUUCCCAUGAAGAUUCCGACAAAUCUCUCCUCGUUGGAAGCCAAAAACGAAAAGCCAGGAAACAAAGUAUAACACGAAAUACUGCAGCAACGAGUGUCUCAAAAAAUGAUAAAAACCAGACCGAUAACAAACAACAAAGCGAUUUUAAGUUUCCUUACGUACUUGAAAAAUUGGGAGGACUCUGUACCGAGCAGAGAAAUACCAAUUUCAUCUAGUACCAUGAACGGCUUGAAAGUAACCCUGGGUGCAACCGUUGAGAUAUUGGAUGCCCUUCGCGUAGAAUCAAAUUUCGAAUACCUCAUGACAGCACGUUUAAGGGGAAAUAUACACCUAGAUGUUCGGAAAAAAUGGAUUUUUUUUUCCAUUUUCUUCAAGAUUGUGGUCUCAAGAAUAUCUUUUCAAAACGGUAAAGCAAUACCUCGAUAAAUAAGAGAGUUAUACCAAUAAGUGCAAUACACAAAAUUUUCGUUUGCGAAUAGAUAUUGAAAAUAGCCAGCGCAGUUACAAACAAAAAAGGUCGAAUACGGCGCCGCUAACAAAAUUUGGAAGCCAUGAACAUGGCGUUGACCGUAGACGACCUGCACUAUGGGACUGGUAUAUGGAUGAUUCCAUAGAUUUUUUGGUAUGAUGCGUAACGCAGGCGGCAGCAAUGACCAUCCGGACCCAAAAUUCUUCAUCCAAACUUUUAGAUUGCUCUGCAGCUACUCUUUGGUGAAACCGCCGAGAGGCUCCAACGUCGAUGGGGGAAAAUGGGAUAAAAUCAAAAAGAAUGCGUAAGAAUGCAAAGCUGUAAGCUCCGUGCAGUCUACAUCAUCAGGAAAACGAAAUUCGAAAUGUAGAUUAUGUGGAGGUCGUUCUUCUAGUGGGAAUGAGAAAACGUCUCGUGAAUUGACUGAUCGUGAUUGCUUCCCGAGCGGCCAAUAUUUUGACUCUACAACGAAUGAAUCACCAAUUUUCUCAAGAUUUAUGAUAGUGCGAAGUGAUGUUUGCGCAAUGUUAGUUAUGCUGAUUUGUUGUUAAAUUUCAUUUUACAAAUUAUAUGUUUGGCCAUUUAUCGAGAUAAUUUAUUUAUACGAAUUUCCAACUAAUAAUGAAAAAAAAAAACAUUCAUCGAUGAAUUUAAACAUGCGAAAUUAUCAACUGAAUAAAAUUGAAAGCUGAUCAAAAAUAAAAAAAUUUUCAAUACA
rnacentral:misc_RNA from 1 species